rnacentral:rRNA from 1 species
AGCAGCCGCGGUAAUUCCAGCUCCAAUAGCGUAUAUUAAAGUUGUUGCAGUUAAAAAGCUCGUAGUUGAAUUUCGGGGCCAAUACGUCGGUCGUGCUUUCGGGUACGCACUGUCGUUAUUGGUUUCUACCUUCUGACGAACCAUGAUGUCAUUAAUUUGGUGUUUUGGGGAGUUAGGACUGUUACUUUGAAAAAAUUAGAGUGUUUAAAGCAGGCAUUAGCUUGAAUACAUUAGCAUGGAAUAAUGAAAUAGGACGUUCGAUCCUAUUUUGUUGGUUUCUAGGAUCAACGUAAUGAUUAAUAGGGAUAGUUGGGGGCAUUAGUAUUCAAUUGUCAGAGGUGAAAUUCUUGGAUUUAUUGAAGACUAACUACUGCGAAAGCAUUUGCCAAGGA